rnacentral:rRNA from 1 species
AUGGCGUCGUCUGCUCAUGCAACCAUGUACGCUGAUCGGUUCCCGUCGGCUGAGUUGCAGCAGCGGCCGGCCGACUACCAGCUCAAAACCUGGGACUAUGACUCCAUCUGCUCCAUGAAGCAGCAGGCGCAACAAGACCACGAGCAUAGCAAGCAAAGCUCACUCCAAUCGAGCUUGAAGCAGAAAGUGAGGCGGCUUCUGCUCGAGGAGGAAGAAGAGCUGGCUACUAGGCUCAUAAUCAUGGAUCAACUGCAAAGUCUCGGUGUAGCAUACCACUUCGAGGAGGAGAUCAGAAAUAUCCUCAUGUCCAUGCAUGUGCAUGAUGCACACCUUCAACUCAAGCAUGACCUCUCAUCAACAGCACUGCUAUUUAGAAUGCUCAGAGGACAUGGAAUCUCCGCGUCCACAGAUAUGUUGAUUGCAUUCAGGGAUGAGAAUGGUGAUUUCAAAGCAGAGAACCCCAAGGACAUUGAUGCUUUUGUUGCACUCCACGAAGCUUCCUACCUGGCCUUCCCAGGAGAGGCCAUGCUCGACGAAGCAAGAGCAUUCGCCGUGAAGAAACUCGAAGAACUGAUGCCAUCCAUGUCGACCUUCAUGGGGCCUGCUAGCCAAACAGAAAUACAAGGAGACCUCCCGCUGCACUGGAGAGUUCCCAGGCUGCAGGCAACAUGGUCACUGAAGCAACACGGCUACAACGACGAGAGGAACCUGAGUAUGGAUCCUUCCAUUCUACAGCUGGCUGCGGUUGACUUCAACCUCGUGCAGGCCGUCCAUGGAGCGGAGCUCGUGGAGGUGACAAAUUGGUGGAAGGAGACCAGGCUGGGCGAGAAGCUACCGUUCGCGAGGGACCGUCUUGUGGAGUGCUUCUUCUGCGCGGCAUCCAUCGCGCCGGAGCCAUGCCUCGCCGGCUGCCGCGAGGUGCUGGCAAAGGUGGGCUCCCUCAUAGUCCACCUCGACGACGUCUACGACCUAUACGGCACGCUCGACGAGCUGGCCGCCUUUACUGAUGUCGUCGGUAGGUGGUGCGAGUGGGACGACGAUGCGCUUCUGCCGUUGCCGGAGUACAUGAAGGCCAUGUACUCUGCCAUCCGGUCAACGUCGAUGGAGGCAGCAGAUCGUGUGAUGAACGAGCAGGGAUACGAUGCGCUCCCGCUCUACAAGAAAGCAUGGCAUGAGCUGUGUAAGGCGUUCCUCAUUGAAGCCAAGUGGCAACACGAGGGAGGGAUGCCAAGCUUGGAGGAGUACCUCGAGAACGGGUGGGUCACGUCCACGGGGCCUCUCCUGCUGCUCCACGCUUUCACCAUGCUCCAGCAGCAAGAGCAGACGGAUUCAUGGCUGCGCAACCACGAAGACGGCGACGACAUGGUCACGGCGUACCCGAAGCUGGUCGAGCUAUGUUCCAUGAUCUUCCGGCUCUGCAACGACUGCGCGACCCACGAGGCCGAGUCGGAGCGGGGUGAGGCGGCGUCGGCCAUCACCUGCCGCAUGGGCGGUGCCACGAGUAAGGAAGAGGCCCGGGCUGCGGUGGCGGACGCCAUUGCCGAGACCUGGAAGAAGGUGAACAGGGAGGUCGCCUUGAGCAGCAGCACCGGGACCUGGAGCGCGGCCAACCGCGUCUGCGUCAACCUGGUGAGGACCAUCCAAUGCAUCUAUCAAGACGGAGACAGCAUCACCUCGCCCAAGGACAGCCGGAAACGACUGGUCAUGGACAUGCUCUUCACGCCUCUUGAUCUAGACAUUUGUGGCGCGUGGUAG